AGAAAAAGAGCUGCAAGUCCGUAAUUUGUAAGGUUCAAUCUUAUGUCAAGACCGUGUAUGUACGACACGCGCGAUUAAAGAGCGCCGGGACCCUGUAAAUUACGGGCAUCGUAAUUUGGAAAUAUGGCGCCAGAUAAUUUAUACACAGAUCCGAUGUGAUAUUCAACAGCGGCGAUCCGGCAUGAUCAUAAAAAAAGUUACUGCCCGGAGGCUGCGGCCCAUUUAUGGUUAAGGCAGUCCCGCGAAAAUAAGCGCGACCUUCCUCGCAGGAGGAAGUACGCAGGUACGGCAUGCGUUUUCGGCGCCGGCUCGGAUUCCGUUCGUCGCCUUUUUGGCGAAUCGGUGCACACCCACGUUUUUAUACCCGGUGAUCGAGAAAAUACUAUAAUGCGCGACGCGAGUCUGUGCGCGGAUGAAGAUGGCGGAUACUACGAUAAUUUAUUAACUAGUCCAGCGAGUCGGUUCCCCGGACCUGUUGGUGGAGUCUCAACACCGGCUGGUUUCGCGCCAAGACGCGCCAAAUCGCAGCGAGAUGCGAAAGCGUCUCAUCCGCUCAAGCGAAAAAUCGUCUCGUUCAUCUUUUACUCUCGCGUGUUUUGCUCGACAUAUUUUUGCACGCGAUUUAAUUUAUACCUAAUCGAGGUUGAUAACCGAUAUCAUCCGCGCAUCUCGCACAAGGCAUUUUACAUAUGCAAAUGCGACGAGGCGUGCACGAGAACUACGGAGGUCUCUCACCGGAAUUCGAAUUUAAUGCGACCUCGUACGCGUUGCGAGAGGAGAAACAUGACAAGUAGUAAUGAUCGUAAUAAUGUCUCGCCAAGCGACAGCAUACGUACGGUAAAGAGCAAAGUUCAGCGUUCCUUUGCCGACUUCUCGAAGCAGCGAUCUCUGCGAAUAAUUUUGAAAAGCGUUAUGAAUAUGCAUGCUUUGUUAAGAAUAUCGAUCGUUUCGUCUACUAUCAUAACAUAAAACUUAAUGGAUUUAUCUAAUUAGAAAAGACAAUUUAAAAGCGGGAAGAAAAAGAAUAAUACACACAUACAGAUGUUUAAUGUCACGGGAAAAGAAACUUAAUUUUGACUUUUUAAGGAAGCAUUUUUUGACCCAUUUAUUGGACUUUCUGUUCAGAAUUAAAUUUUCUAUAAAAUCUCAGAGUCUGAUCGGAAUGUUUGAGUUUACCCUGUAUGUGCUUCAUUUUGAGAGACUUAUUUUUUAAAAGGAUUUACUCUGCUACUUAAUAUGUAUCACCAAGAGCAACCGACAACAUAAGGUCAGCUUGGUUUUUGCGCAAGGUAAUCUAGCGUGCAAUAUCCAUAAUGCAUCAACAAAUUUUUAUUAUUCGCUCUGAGAUUCGUAUCUCGUAAUGCGUUUUGCAUAUGCGACGAAUUCACCUGAUGCACGAGAAAGAUGCGCGGCGAGAAAAUUGCGUCGCGCGGUAUCUGACAAAUAUAUAUAUAUAUAUAUACAUAUAUCUCGCUGACAAGCGACGCAUCGAGCAUAAUCUCACGUAAUUGAAUGCAUAAAAUUCAUAAUUACAUAGCCUGGAUGUUUAUACGUUGUACUUAAGUUUUUAUGUAACUAUGCGCGCGAUGUGGACUUUAACAAUUAGUCGAGUGCGUUGCGUGGAAUAAUGCAACAAGCAUUUUGAUCGAUAGGAUAGAUGUCCGGGAUAUUUGAUCCACAAUUACAUCUUAAAAAAAGGGAUCAAAGAAUGAAUGAGAGGAUGAAUUAAAAAACAUUAAUAUUUAUUUUCGACAAGAGACGCGCGUCAUAAGGCUACGACAUCUCUGAAUCUUCGACAUUUAAUUGAGGUUUAUUUGAAUUUAUUUUAAUUAACAGUUGGAUAUUUAUUUUCCGUAAAAUAUAUAAAUAUAGGUAUAUAAUUAAGAAGAAUGUUAGGCCAAAUGAGCGCGAUCUUGAAGACGAUUCGUUCGGAUACUUUCGCGGAUUCCUCCGCGAAUCGCGCUCGCGGCUUUUAACGGUCCGGUAUCAUGCCAUUAUCAUAUCGGUAAUGAUUCGCAAUCGGCGGAUAGGAAAUUGUCGAGUCGUGAUGUAAAAAAAGAUAUAUCGCCCGAGGACGUUUCUUCAACACGGCGCCACCAAUACAAGACUGUGAGUUUAGUUUGCGGAACGAACAUGUCCUAUCAUCCUCUCCGCGUCUGUUCCUCCUAUUUCGAUCUCUUACACAGAGUUCACACCGGCAAGAGGGACGAGCGAACCUUCCACAUUGAGUCUGGAAAUUAAACUUUCAUGAUUUAUGAAACGCAAUGAUCUGCACAUAUUUUAUAUCAAUAGUAAUGUUUUUUCAUGUGCAGAUCAUUGCGUUUCAUGA